GUCUAUGGCAAAAUCACCCUGAACACGCCCAAUGUCUUCGAUCUCGGAAGCUAAGCAGGGUCGAGUCUGGUUAGUACUUGGAUGGGAGAGGGAGAGACAUCUGCAGUAC
rnacentral:rRNA from 1 species